GACGAACGCUGGCGGCGUGCUUAACACAUGCAAGUCGAACGGAAAGGCCCUGCUUUUGUGGGGUGCUCGAGUGGCGAACGGGUGAGUAACACGUGAGUAACCUGCCCUGUAGUUUGGGAUAACUUUAGGAAACUAUGGCUAAUACCGGAUAGGAGCACCUGUUGCAUGGCGAGGGUUGGAAAGUUUCGGCGGCUGGGGAUGGACUCGCGGCUGAUCAGCUUGUUGGUGGGGUAGGGGCAUCGCAAGGCCUUGACGGGUAGCCGGCCUGGGAGGGUGACCGGCCACAUAGGGACUGAGGUACGGGCCAGACUCCUACGGGAGGCAGCAGUGGGGGAUAUUGCGCGAUGGGCGGAAGCCUGAUGCAGCGACGCCGCGUGCGGGAUGACGGCCUUCGGGUUGUAAACCGCUUUCGCCUGUGACGAAGCGUGAGUGACGGUAAUGGGUAAGGAAGCACCGGCUAACUACGUG
rnacentral:rRNA from 1 species